AAGGAUCAUUACCGAGUGCGGGUCCUUUGGGCCCAACCUCCCAUCCGUGUCUAUUGUACCCUGUUGCUUCGGCGGGCCCGCCGCUUGUCGGCCGCCGGGGGGGCGCCUCUGCCCCCCGGGCCCGUGCCCGCCGGAGACCCCAACACGAACACUGUCUGAAAGCGUGCAGUCUGAGUUGAUUGAAUGCAAUCAGUUAAAACUUUCAACAAUGGAUCUCUUGGUUCCG
rnacentral:misc_RNA from 1 species